AGAACAGCUGAGAGCUCACUGUAGGAGGAAAGAAAGGCUUGCGUUGGAGAGGACCUUAAAGCCCACCCAGUCCCAACUCCGGAUCAGGAUGCCCAGGACCCCCUCCAAUCUGGCCUUGGGCAUCCUUAAAGAUGGGACACUCACAGCUAUCUUGGCAACCCAGAGGAAAUGAUUUUUGAAUUAUUUUCCUGAAAAAAAUAAAAGCGCAGUUUUCCAGACUCAGGAAAGAAUUGGAAGACCUAAAGUGAACUUUGAUUUUAAGAGGAGGCAAUUACAUUUUGCCAAGCAACUCUUGACCCCAGUCAUUUAGCUUCUGGGACCUUGAUGCAGCACAGAGGCUGUCAGCAAGAGAUCCCUGAUGUUCCCAGUUGCCCAGCACCUGUUGUACACCUCUGAAGUGCACAGUACUUCAAAAAACAUCUCAGAUUGCAACUUCCUUUCUCAAACAGGCACACAGGUCCAAAUCCAGUCAAAAAUUGAAGUGAGCACCUCGUAUCACUAGGUAAUCCCACUCAUCUGAAUCUGCUUGUGCUUUGUCAAGCUGGGACUGCCUACAAAGUGAGUGCUGCUUUUCCCCCAAAUUCUUAAUAUCAAACACAAUUUCAGUGAUCAGACAUUCAGACUGGAAGAAAGUGCACCAAGAUGGGGAACGCAAUCCAUACUGGACAUGCUGUGCAGAUGGAAAGCUCACCUGAAGUGCUGAGAAGGACUAGUGAAGGAGUCUGGAUUGUGACUUCAAUGUCCACUAGGGAGGAUUAUUUUGAGAAACAGUCUCUCCAUCUGUUGUCUCUAUCAAGCAGUGUUAAGCAUUUUUUUUUCCUCACUGGAAAGCUGUCCAUACAUUCCACUUCCACUGUGCAGCAGAAGCCUGGAAGGAGCACCUAGGAGACCUAACCAAAUGGAGCAGUUUCAAAUACCAAUGUUUGUCUAAUUGAGAAUAAGAUUUACCUUCAUACGGAAGAUUAUACUCAUAAAAAAGCGCAUCUUUUAAUACACAGUAACCUGUGUCUUUUAAUUAAAUCCCUUAAUACCUCAACAAUAAUGUCUGCUGCAAAAAAGGCCACUUUCUGUUCUCCCUGCCAGCAGUGAAUCUUUGCUGGAGACGUGUGGGAGCUGGUAGUAUGGAGGUGCAGUGUUGCUUUUUCACAUCCUUCAUAGCAAAAGCACUCAGAGAAGUGCAGGGGCAGCUGCCUGUUUCCAUGCCUGGGUGCUUCAAAGCCAAACUCUGGGCCACAGGGCAAGCUUAUCUAUUUCAAGACUGGAAAGAAUGAGAUUUCACUUGUAAAAGCUAAUGUCAGAGACAUUAGGCUAAUUAGCUUUAAAACAAGUUAAAACUUCAGAGUUUUUGCUUUCCCACUGAGGACUGGGAAAUUUCAGUUUUAGAUGUGAACUUGUGAGCUUAUCCCCACCUCUCGGUGUUUUUCUUAGAAUCUGUUUUGUAGGGCCUGAUGAAUUAUUAAUAAAGAAAGAAAUGCCGUUCUGCCGGUGGUUAUG
rnacentral:lncRNA from 1 species